rnacentral:misc_RNA from 1 species
AUGGUAUGUUAUUUCAGUUAAAACUCUAAAAUGGUCCUGCUUAUAGGUAGUAUUUCUUGUGUAAAAAUAUAAUAGACUGGUGGUAUGAACAAACGUAUGCUAUUAAAAGCACACAGGCAUCACUCUUUCCAGUGAGACAUCCUUUAGAGUCUUGAAACUUUACAAAUGAAUUACAUAUGCAAAAUAAAUGAGAGAGGUGUUUCUCAAAUAUGAAAUGGUAUCUGUUUGCACCUCCACACUCAUGCUGCAACUUAUUUUGAGAGCCUGACCUA